rnacentral:rRNA from 1 species
UACGAAGGGGGCUAGCGUUGUUCGGAAUUACUGGGCGUAAAGGGCGCGUAGGCUGUGCUGUAAGUCAGGCGUGAAAGGUCCGGGCUCAACCUGGGAACUGCGUUUGAUACUGCGGCGCUGGAAUGCAGGAGAGGAUGGCGGAAUUCCCAGUGUAGAGGUGAAAUUCGUAGAUAUUGGGAAGAACACCGGUGGCGAAGGCGGCCAUCUGGCCUGCAAUUGACGCUGAGGCGCGAAAGCGUGGGGAGCAAACAGGAUUAGAUACCCUGGUAGUCCACGCUGUAAACGAUGAGUGCUAGACGUCGGGGAGCUUGCUCUUCGGUGUCGCCGCUAACGCAUUAAGCACUCCGCCUGGGGAGUACGGUCGCAAGAUUAAA